AUAUCACCUCAUGCCCAUUGGGGUGGCUGCUCUCAAAAAACCAGAAAAAAGCAAGCGUGGGCGACCAUAUACAGUGUUGGUGGGAUUGUAAAAUGGUGCAACCACUAUGGAAAACAGUAUAACAGGUCCUCAAAAAUUUUUAAAUCGAACUACCACAUGAUCCAGCAAUCUCACUUUUGGGUAUAUAUCCAAAAGAAUUUUAAGCAGAAAAAAAAAAAGAAUUCAAGGAAGGGUCUCAAAGACAUGUAUUUACAUGUUCACAGUGGCAUUAUGCACAAUAGCCAAGAGAUGGAAGCAACCUAAAUGUUCAUCAAUGGGUAAAUGGAUAAAGAAAAUGUACCGUGGAUAUGGAAUAUUAUCCUAUCAUUUGGCCUUACAAAGGAAGGAACGACAUGGAUGAAGCUUGAGGACAUUAUGUUAAGUGAAAUAAGCCAGUCACAAAAAGAUAUUUACCUUGUGAUUUUACUUACGAUGUGUCUAACGUAGUCAAACUCAUAGAAACAGAAAGUAAAAUGGUGGUUGCCAGGGGCUGGGGGAAAGGGAAACAGGGAAUUUUUUUUUUCUUUAAUGGGUAUAGAGUUUUAGUUUUGCAAGAUGAAAAGUUCUGGAUAUCUGUUGCACAAAAAAGUGAAUAUGGUUAACGCUACUCAACUGUAGACUCAAAAAUGACUCAAGUGGUAAAUUUUAUGAAACCCAUUUUUUUACCCCAAUUUUUUAAAGUUACAACUUUUUGCCUUUUCUGUCAUUACAAACCUAAGCCAUCUCGUCUACGUUCAAAAAAAAAAAAAAAAUCAGGCUACAAACAAAACAUGGAAACACAAUCUGUUACUAUUUACAGGUACCCUGAAUUCAGUUUAAUCAAAGAGAUGAGUUUGUGUCACAGGACUGUGGGAGCGUGGACAUCAAGAGAGAAACAGAGCAAAGUGGCUUUUUAGUACAGAGCAUAAAGAGAUUUCCAGAAACGUGGAAAAGCUGACUGCAAAAUUUACAUGGAAGGGCCAUAAACGAAAAAUAGAGCCACAAUACUCCUGAAGAACAGGAAGAAGAGAAACUUGACCUACCAGAUGUCAGGAACGCUUAUAAAGCUACGCUUCCUCUCCUUCUUUGAGUCUGAAUGGAAAUGUAAGGUGUCGGGACAAUGGCUAUCUAAAAUGGAGUAAGGAGGUAAGAAGCGGUAUCCAGAUGCUUGUAACAAAAAAAUGAAAGGGGUAAACUUGUCAAGAGGCUUACUUAGUGGACAAGGCAACGGUUGGUCAAAAGUGGUAAACUGGUGAAUGAAAGUCAUUCAUUCAUUCAUUCAUUCAUUCAUUCAUUCAUUCAUUCAUUCAAGAAAACUCUGUUACCUGUGUAUGAAACACCGUGUCUGGCGUGGAUAUAAAGAUGCAUUAGACAGAUCCCUGUGCAUGAGCACUCAGACUAGCUGGCAAGACAUGCCUGGAAAAUACUAAGAUAUAGUAUGCCGACUACUAGAGCACGGUCGAUACCAAACAGUUCUGUCAGAGCAAUGAGGCUGAAGGACGAACUACAGAAAGUAGAAGCAGUUUUCUCGAAGGAAGUAUCAUUCAUACUUGAUCUUGGUAUCUGUGUUGUUGAGGAGGGAGAUGGCAGAGGCAUAUACCGUGGGGCUAAACAUGCAGAGUUUUCAAAUAUGUUGAAGCAGUAUCAACUUCUAUACCGUAAGAGCUAUGGAGAUUUUAUAAAGGAUGUUCAUACCACGCAGUUUACUGUUUGUGAAUUUUAAACUCUCGCCUUCUUUCUUCCUACCUCUUGUUUGAGGAAUUAAUAGCCAAAUUACCCCAAACUGGGCAGUAGUGGGGAGGAGGCAGAGAACCAGGGUCCUGAGUAACAGCGUGGCUCUACAGAGUGUGGAGUAAAGGAGAAUUCAGUGUUUCAGCUUCUUUGAUUGGCAUGGAAAUGUUUAGAGAGUGAAGUAAUUUUGAAGUUCUGUGGUUCUACCUGGGAUUUAGAGUGAGGCUUCUUUCUUAAACUGUAUGGUCCUAGUAAAUGUUGAGGCAUAGCAGAAAAUCAGUACAAGUUUUAUCAGUGACCUUUUGUGAAUCCUGCUCUGGUUGGCAUAGUUGUUUCAUCCGAUCACACAUUCAACAGAGUGGAGCUCUGAGAUGGAGCAGGAGGGUGACACGGUGACAAUUAGCACUGCUCCUAAAGAAGCCCUAUGACUGACGAUAGAACUCUAAAAUGUGAAUAAACUCUGUUUUGAGAAGGGGCUGCUCUUACAGAGAAUGUUACAUGACCCCGGAAGUGUAGGAAAUGGGCUCUGGGCAAGAAAAAAGUGCCUCCAGCAGAGGCAUUGUUCUUAGAACCAAAAUUUUGAGAGCAUGAUAGAGGAAAUCUCUCCAUCAGCUGUCAAAUUCCGUAAGUUCCAGAAUCUUUCCUUAAGACAAACACCUUCCACCUGGAAUGAAGGAUGCCACAGGCCCCAUCAAAAUCGAAGAGAUGGACAGGAUGGUUAGCGUGAGGUGUUCAGAGGUUCAUCUGAGUUUCCCCACAAGUGUCACUGACAAAGUGCACAGGUCUCUAUAGUUCAAGGGUUCCUGCCUGGAGGGUACAGUGGGUACGAAGCUUCGUUGUAUUUGAGAUUCCUACACUUGGGAAGCAGUUGCUGGGGGAGCUAUGGCUGAGUUCAGGCUGAGAUAAUGUUUGUUUCAAAACCUGGGAUAGCUUUUAACGUUAAUUGAAUUUCUUAGAGUUAAAGGGAGAAACACAAACCAUAUGGAAAUAAGUGGGAAAAUUUAAUGGCAAGAGCUAUAAACAUGCAGAUAAAUCUUCCUGAAGUCAUUGUAGUAGUUUAUAAUUUCUUCUUAUGUCCCCUGUGAAGUCCUACAGUGCCCCUCAACCUUUUUCCCACAUCACUAACUUUGAAGCUCCCCCAAGGGUAUGACCAUGGUCAUAGAAGCACUGUUGGUUUGCCACCAUUUUUGCUGCCUUGGGGAACUCAUCAUACAUGAUUUACGUGGUAGCUUAUAUGGAUAAAUUGUAUUUCUACACCUCCUGCCCUAGUAUCUUCUAUUUUUGCAGACCAAGGAUUCGGGAUCUCUAAAGUACAUUUCUCUGUGUGUGACAUUCUGUUAAUAAUAACAGAAUGUAAUAAACAUUACAUUGCCUUUUUUUUUAAAUCAAUGUAAAUGAUAUCAACAGAUUCUCAGUGCUUUAAAAUCACUACAUUGUGGUACUUUGAACGGACUAUAUGUCUUCCUGAUAAUUCUUCAUCUGGAAUUGUACUGCCUACUACUGUAGCCCCUAGCUAUAUGUGGCUAUUUAAACUUACAUGAAUUCAAAUGACUAGAAUUAAAACUUCAGUUUGGCAGUCACACUCGCCACAUUUCAAGUGUUCAAUAGCCACAUGUGGCUAGUGCCUACUGAAUUGGAUAGGACAGAUGUAAAACAUUUCUGUCAUUGGACAAAAUUGGACAGUGCUGAUCUAGGACAUUUCUUGUAUUUUUCUUGAGCUUUCACUGUUCUCUACCAGCUAACCCAGGCAACACCCACGGUGUGCCUAGACUUUUACAACAGACAUCAUACGGUCUUCUCUCUCCAGUUUCUCAGUCCUUCCAAUGUCCUUCCAUGACAUCAUCCUGAAUCUGAGGGCCAUGCCUGGGUCUUGUCAUCACCCAGAAUCACUGCCUCUGACACUUAAAUCUAAGAACUAAGAACUAGUUUUGAGUUGCUUUGCUAUCUGAUACCACCGUGUCUGUUCUUCACUUACACUGAGACCUCCAGGUCCUGGACCCCUCUGUUUAUUUUCA